CCGGUCAUGGGGAGGCAAUGCAUGUUUCCAAUCAGCUGAGAAUGUAACUCAAAUGGAACACUGAACUCCACUGUGUGGGAGCUUGAGGGGCCUGUGCUGCCCAUGCCGAGUGUCCACCAUCUCACACUGCUUCUAACACCUUCAAGCCAUCUCCUGAAUCUGGAAUAGUCAUCAUGAGCUGGAGGCUUCCUCAGAAGAACCCUAAAAUCAAGGGGGAUUCUGGUGCCAAGAAAAAUAGCCCAACCCAGCUUCACAGCUGUGAGCCUCCAAUGCGCCCCAGGAAGCUGCCAUCACCAUGGGUAGCGCGACCUGGCUUGAUUUUGCCAAAACAAAGGAAAAUUCCUCCAGCAAUUUCUGUGAAUUUGUUUUGCAAAACUGAAUUGUCUGCUUUUAAUUCCCCUAUACCAAUUAAAUAAAAAUUGGAAUUUAAAAUCCAGUGAAUGACAGAAACCUCACUUUGGAGUGGAUGACAGACCCCACGCAACCUGGGGUCUGGGGUAGAGAAGUGAGAUGCUGGGAACUUCCAGGGAGUGGCGG
rnacentral:lncRNA from 1 species